CCCCUCUCCGCUUUGCAUUUGCUUUUGCCCAAGCAUAAAUUCUUUCCUCUCUCUCUUUCAAAACUCUUCCAAGGCAAAGGACACAACAAUUAUCGGUGUUUUCAGAUAGAUAAACCCUAUGGACCCGCUCCGAUCCAAUCUCUCUCGAGUUCGGAUUCCCGAACCCACCAAUCGCAUCUACAAGCAUGAAUGCUGCAUCUCAUUUGACACUCCGNCUGAAGGUGGGUUGUUUGUUGACAUGAACACUUUUCUUGCAUUUGGGAAGGAUUAUGUGGGUUGGAACUAUGAGAAGACUGGAAACUCAGUUUAUUUGAUAAAUCAAACAAAGAAGUUGGUUCCUGAAGAUAGACCUUCAAAAAAACCGACUUUGUUGGCUAUAGGUGUUGAUGGAGGAUUUGACAACAAUGAACCUGAAUAUGAAGAGACUCACAAUAUAGUGAUAUUGCCUGAUUAUGUUACUUUUUCUUUUCCUUCUGUAGAGUUGCCAGAGAAGG
rnacentral:misc_RNA from 1 species